GGAAAACUCCUCCUUUAUCCCCCUGGACUUGCAUACAUACCAGAGAAGUGGCUGUGUGUCCAAGUGCUCACCGAAUAUUUUUAAUUGAAUAAAGACCUUUUCUUCCGAAAACUCUAAAACUGGUGUAAUCACAUUAUUUAUAUUCAGAUUCUAGCACUGUAAAACUACAAAGCUCCAAACCAUCAAUUCGAUUUUAUCAUCUAUCUCUUUCCUACACCUUCGAUUCAGAUAUCAAAGACAAAUGGAUUUGAUUUUUUCAAAGCCAUGCAAAAACCUAAUAUUUCGACUGUUUAUGUUAUAAAUGUUUGAUUUAUUUAUUUUCUGUUGAUAACGCUAUAUCCACCCAUUUAUCAUGUGACGUUUUUUACUCCUACCUUAAAAAAAGUUUCCUUGUCUUAUUCCCACUCUCUGUCUUUUUCUCCCACUCUCUGUCUCUUUCUCCCGCUCUCUGUCUCUUUCUCCCCCUCUCUCCCUUUGUCUU